UUCGUUUCUGUUUCUGCUAGCUUAUGUAUCUUGUCAAGUCAAAAAAAAACUCAGUGCUGGGAAGCAAUCCAUUCACUCACCGACUUCGGCCUCUAUUCUGAAAUAUUGAUCUUCCUAGCUAUGCCACAUUGACCAAAACAGCAAGUGAUAAUCAAGUGAGCGAUGCUGGGGAUUGUACGCGAGGUGAGAAAAGGUGCCCAGUAAAGGUGCCCGAUGCCCAUGCUCAGCGUCUCGUCGGUAUCCACUGAAGCAACAGUUGCCGUGAUCCGAUUCUGUUAUCUCGACAAACUGCACAUGAAAUAAGGACGCUAAGAGGGGCAUGAACGAAACACUACAACUCAUUUAGUGACAAUGACGAUGCAUCAAGGCAGGAUCUCUAGACCAGGACAAAAUUACAAAGAAUAACAGCAUUUUCUAAUCUGCAUUAGCCCAGCCGAUCGCCAGCCUCUUGGGUUAUGGGAAAUCGAUCUGGACCUGAGUGAGACAAGUCUUAGCUUUUCACGGUUGCAACCCACUUUCAAUGGACUCUGCUCAACCAUAUGGACCGUUACUAUCACUAAUUCACCACGGCUUUAGAUUUCGGGUAGAUCCACAGCGGUUUCCACCGUUGGGGCCCAACCAUAUCGGUUCGAUAUCGCCAGCCAGCAUUCGCUCCACAGACCCUCGCCAAGACGAUCUCACAGAAUCAGAUUUACAACAGGCACAAAUACUUCAAUAUGGCUCAAUCAGAGAUGUGAUUAGCGACAUCAGAAUCGAACGAGCCUAUCGAAUGGCGAUAGAGAAGGCCCUUAGGCAUAAUCUACGAAGCUAUAGUCCCGAAAUACCUGAAUGCGCCGUAUGCCUUUUGAACUGUGCCCGUUGUCGUUGGUAACUAAGUAACGAGAAUGCUAAAUGGUGGUCGAUGGGGCAAAAAUACAUAUAAAAAAUAGCACACGAACGACUCGCAAGCUCAUAGCACAAAAUUUUGUUUCAUGUGUUUUGAGAACGUAAUGCUGGUUGGUUACGUAUCAACAUAUCACACUUUAAAUUAACUCAUGAUCCACCUCUAAUCCUAGGUGCUCAACAGCAAAAUUUGA